GAAAAACAAUACGUAUAGGACACAGGAGCACGGGCUCCUCAAUGUGUACGGUAGCGCCGCCGCGCGCCCGUUCCUCUCUGGCGCCGCCGCCGCCGCCGCCCUGCUCUCGUUCCCCUCCCUAUCCAUCUCAAUCUUCUCCGGUGCCACCACGAUCUUCAACCUCCUGCCGCCGUAUGUCUCCGAUUUGGAUCGGAGUCCGUGUUCCCCCAGGAUAAGUGCUGCAACACAAAUCCAUGGCGUGCCCGACCCAGAUUUGAGAGUGACUUGGCUGCCAUUAGAAGGAGCCCUCGACCGGAAUCUCCAUUAAAUCGCAUCAUAUCGCAACUUUUGAAGAGUCGUCCAGGAUCGUCUCAGCCGAGUUCGCCAGAAGAAAAUCCGCCGCCCAAGCGUACUACACGUGAGCCCGAAGAACAUCCCCUGCCGAACAUGCUACCCCAGAGAUCACAUCUUCCUUUGCUAGAACACGUGAGCUGAUUCCAACUUUGGCCUCAAGUUGCUCCCGUCGAUGACAAGUGGUUAGUUUUAUGGGGUUCACAAUUGACUUUUUCAACUAUAAUACAAUAGUCAGUGCAUGAGACAGAGAUAACUCAUGUUGGAUCGACACCUCCAUAUCAGAGAUAACGUUUUUAAUGGAGGAUAAUUCAUAUUCAGUUCUCCUCUCAAUUUUGGUGUUGCCAAGCUUGAUCUUUAUCCAUCUAACUGACUGAAAGUGCCUUCUAAUCACUAUUGAACGCAUAUGUUAGUUAGUUUGACUGUAUACACCACACAAAAAGUAAAAAAAUUCUCGAGAAACAAAAGGCACACCUAUAGGAUUUUUUUUCUUAACAAAAUGUAUUAAUUUGACUAUUUGAGUAUAAAAAAUGUGCAAUCGCAAUCUUGCUUUUUUCAAGGAAAACAGGGGACUGCUACGUACUCGAUAUGGAUCGAGGCUAAUUAUUGAUCUCCCAAGUUAAAAAUAUGAAAAUAACUUUCAUUUAGUAAUGGAUAUAUAGUCAAGAAAGGAUGCCUUUCCCUAAAGAUACAAAGCAAAAUCAUGUUCGUGUAUGUCCGGCUGACAGAUGAAUCGAUCUCCUUUCAAGUAUCAACCCAACAACCUUCGUGUACGGGUCCAUUGGCCUGCGUAGCACACAUCCCUUCACUAAUUCCAUCAGUAUCAUUCUUAACAAGGUAAGUAUGAUUCCCUAAUCACUGAUUUUAUUAAUUGAUCUUUGAUCCUUCAUCCCUAAUGUCGUUAUACCUUAUUGAUUCUAUAAAAGAUCUCAAACAGGAACAUACCAUUAUUGAGGCUACAAUUCCUAUAACUUGCCUUGUCAAUUUGAUAAAAUUACAUGUGUGAUGGAGGUUGUAACUUAUUACGGUUUACAUUGUCAGAAUGAUAUCUGUGUCAUCUCUAAACAUAUGUAUAUAUUUGGUGUGCUGGAUUUUCUGAUGUAGAUGCUAUAUAAGAGGAAGCUAUUCGACAAUCCUGCUCAAGUUGGUACGGAUCAGACCGAUUUUAUUCAGUAAUAUGCUUGAUAGAUACAAGCCUCCCUCUUCUGCCCUUCUUUUCUCCAUCCUCUACAGGUCACCAACACAUGUGAAUCGUUCUCGUCAAGAGCAUGCUUGUGACAUCAUUACUAUAUGUGAUGCACGGCAAAAGGAUGUUGUCAGAAUCUAAGUGUUCAAGUACAAUCUCUAGCCAAGUUCUCUUUGUUGUUGUGUUGAAUUUUGAGGAAAGGCGGCCAAGCAGCUCGUGGCAUCUAUGUCACGCCUGCUCUGCCGCUGCCUUGACCCGCCGACGACGUCGCCGGUUGAGCCGCAAGGUUGCAAGAUCAUCGUGGGGCCCAUUGCAUGGGCUCCGAGUAUGCUUGAUUGCCAUGUCGGAGGCGAAGGUGCUAGAGCUUGGUGGCAUGUUUGCAUUUGUGGAUGC